rnacentral:rRNA from 1 species
GACGAACGCUGGCGGCGUGCUUAACACAUGCAAGUCGAACGAAGUGGCGAACGGGUGAGUAACGCGUAAUCAACAUGCUCUUCAGAGGGGGACAACAGUUGGAAACGACUGCUAAUACCGAAUACUGAAGGAGGGGAUUGCGUCGGAUUAGCUAGUUGGAGGGGUAACGGGCCACCAAGGCGAUGAUCAGGAGCCGGGCUGAGGAGAUGAACGGGCACAGUGGGACUGAGACACGGCCCAGACUCCUACGGGAGGCAGCAGUGGGGAAUCUUCCGCAAUGGGCGAAAGUCUGACGGAGCAACGCCGCGUGAGUGAUGACGACCUUCGGGUUGUAAAGCUCUGUUAAUCGGGACGCGGUACCGGAAUAGAAAGCCACGGCUAACUACGUGCCAGCAGCCGCGGUAAUAC